GCAGGACAGAUGACUUGAAGGUUGGGUUGCUGACCUGAAGGUUACCAGUUUGAAUCCAACCUGGGGUGAGUGCAGAUGAGCUCCCUCUGUCAGAGGCCUCCCACAAGGAUGGUAAAAACAUCAAAACAUCCGGGCGUCCCCUAGGCAACAUCCUUGCAGAUGUCCAAUUCUCUCACACCAGAAGCGACUUGUAGUUUCUCAAGUCGCUCCUGACAUACAAAAAAAAAUUGGUGAGGGUGCUGCUUCCCUCACCAACUGAUAUUAGUAAGAGAACAUGAAACAUGAAAAUUACUCCAGCACAAAAAGAGGAGAGGGAUGAAAAAAAAAAUUGCAAUCAGACAAACACUGGUAGGAAAUUAUCUGAGGCCCUCACCCCAUUCUCAUGUCUAUGGGUGCUGAAAAAAAUACUUAUAAUUCUGAUGCCCAACAUUGCAUGGUCAAUACCAGUUGAGUAUCCUUUAUCCUAAAUGUUCAAUACCAUAAGGGUUUGGAUUUAGACUUUUUUUUCAGAUUUUAAAAUACCUGUAUUUGCACAUACACACAUAAUGUGAUAUCUUGGGAAUGGGACCCAAUCCUAAACAGAAAAUUAAUUUGUGUUUCAUAUACAUCUUAUACACAGAACUUGAAGAUAAUUUUAUACACUACUUCUAAUAAUUUUGUGUGAAACAAAAUGUGUGUAUAUUAAAUAAUCAGAAAACAAAGGUGUAACUAUCAGCCAUCCAUUCAAUGAUUUCAGAUUUUGAAUUUUGGCAUUCCAGGGAAGAAAUGUCAAAAUGUUAACUUCUGUUAAAAGGCAUUAGUUAGAAUGGCAAUCCCUAAAUUGUUCCCUUCUUGACAAGUAUAGCCUCCCAGAAAUGACCAGCGUCUAUGCUAGUUGAUGGAUUCUGGGAACUUCAUUCCAAAAAUAACUUUUCCAAGUUGUUCUCCAGAUGUGUUUGACUACAAAAACUCUAAGGAAUCCCUGAACGAAAUUGCAAUCUGAAACACUUGGAGGACCUCCUAUUUAGAUGAUCCCUUUAUUGCAAAAGAAAAUAGAUAGUUGGCAGAAGGAUUCACCAUAACUAUACAAUCAACAACCUCACAUUCAAGAGUUGGAAAUUCAAGUGUAUGUUUGGAGAAAUAAAUCCUAUCUAUGCCUCAUGUAUUGCAGUAAUGAUAAAGUGUGGAGAGAACAGGUUCUUCAUAUUUUAACAUUUGGUUUGGAUUUCUCAUUCAUUUCUCGUAGGUAGAGUCUGGGAGAGCAUUAAAAAUAGAUGAACAAUGGAACGCUUCAGAACUGAGUGUCAAGUAGCAGUGCCAACUUUGAUUGUGAUCCUAUCCAUCAGAUGAUGGCUCAACAGACUUUAGACCUUUGAGCUAUUGAAGAAAUGACAUUUAAGUCUUAUCUUGCUAGAGACAAAACAGUUGAAAAUACUGUUGAAGCCACAUAGAAUGCAUUUGCUGUGUGUGUUAUUAUGUGCCUUCAAUUUGACGUUGACGUACUAAAGUGCAAACCAACACACAUUAACACAGAGGCAGACCAAUUGUGUCUGAUGGGACUCUCUGCCAGCCCAGUCCAAUAUGCUUGGAAGACUCAGGCCUGAAGAAAAUGGUGAAAACAAAGAGGAAACUAAAAUGGUCCAAGAAGCCUCUAGGAAGCAUGAUAAUCCUUUAACAAGUGGCUCCUGGCUGCCUUGCUUUAAGCCAAAAAAACAAACAAACAGAAUUUCCAAAAUGUGAGGUCACCUUUGUCAUAGAAUUUCAGCUGUAUGUGCCCCCAGUGGUGCAGUGGAUUAAGCCCUUGUGCCAGCAGGACUGCUGACUUGAAAGUUGGGUUGCUGACCUGAAGGUUGCCAGUUCGAAUCCAACCCAGGAAGAGCAUGGAUGAGCUCCUUCUAUCAGCACCAGCUCCAUGCGGGAACAUGAGAGAAGCCUCCCACAAGGAUGGUAAAAACAUCAAAACAUUCGGGCAUCCCCUGGGCAAUAUCCUUGCAGACAGCCAAUUCUCUCACACCCGAAGUGACUUGCAGUUUCUCAGGUCACUCCUGACACACACACAAAAAAUAGCUGUGUGGUUCCACCAAGGGAGAUGAUGGUCAUUAUGGUAGUUCUGGUAUUGGCCCCUAGACCCGCCACAGUUUCCCCUACUUGAUUUAGUUAGUAAGCCACACACAGUCCCAGUCUCUGUUUCUGGUGGCUGCUUCUUCUCUCUCCCCUUCUUAUUCCUCUUAUUUGCUUCUUCUGCCCUCUCCUUGUUGUUGUCUUUAUUUAAAUCCUCCUCUUUCCAAGCGUGGUCUCAUGGAAAAAUCCUGAACAUUUUCAUUUCAACCCAGUAAAAUGUUUAGUUCUUAUCAUUCUGAAAAUUUGAAUAUAUGGUCUCCAAUGUAUGAUGAAGAGCUGAAAACCUGAGCAGGAACAUUAUAAGGUCAAGGACAGGUGCAGACUAUUUUGAUAGAUUCAAACAAAAAAUGGUAUGGCAUCAAUUGUAUAUUCCAGUUCAGAGGAUUGAUUAGAAGAACUCUGGUGUUAUCAGUUCUGCAUAUGUAAUAAAAGACAACCUUUCAAAUUCUUAAGACUAAUUGUAUCUUGAGAUAAUGUUAAAAAGAUAACUAUACUAUCUCUUUAAGAAGAUGUCCCAUUUCUAAAAUGAGACAUGACUGUAGUUGAACUAAUGCUUUGUAAAUAUGAGGGCUAUCCACAAAGUCGGUUACGUUUUGGAAUUAAAAAUGAACAAAGUAUAGGAGAAAACAUUUACCAUAUGUAGUUGAAAGCCACAUCCAAAUACCACAUCUCACGUAGUCACCAUUCAAAUCUAGGCACUUACCAUAAUGAUGAAUGAGCUUUGCAAAUCCUUCCCCACUAAAUUCUGCCGCUUGCGCCCUCAACCACUUAUUUCUAACAAUGGGGGCAUGGCUGGCAACGCAGCGUUUUGGCAAUGCUGCGCAGCUGCGGGAAGGGGUGACCGGCUAGUUGAGGAUGCAAGCAGCAGGACUGUCCCUCUUGUCCAUUCACAUCAAAUGAAAGAGAUAAUUUUUAAAAAUACUUUUGACUUUGCAGGAAUUGUGAAAUAUCUUUAUAUAAAUAAAAUGUAAUGUCUGUU